rnacentral:rRNA from 1 species
AUGUCAGUUAGCAUGACGCAGAAGACGGUGGUGCUCUAUCCCUCGCUCGGCGUGGGCCAUCUCAACCCUAUGGUGGAGCUGGCCAAUGUCUUCCUCCGCCUCGGGCAGGCCGUCGUCAUCGCCGUUGUGAACCCGCCGGACAAGGACGCCGUGUCGGAAGACGCAAUGGCUCGCCUCUCCACCGCCAACCCAGCCAUCACGUUCCGCCGCCUCCCCGUGCCGUCUUGCGGCAAGGACCAUUACUCCCACCCGGUCCUGCGCACCAUCGACGUGCUCCGCGCCGCCAACCCGUCGCUGCGGGAGUUCCUCCGCACCCUCCCUGCCGUGGACGCCCUCGUGGUCGACAUGUUCUGCGUGGACGCGCUCGACGUCGCCGCCGAGCUCGACAUCCCCGCAUACUUCUUCUUCGCCUCCGCGGUCGGAGACCUCGCCAUCAUGCUCCACCUGCCGUACUACUAUCCCGCCGCCCCGUGCUCGUUCAAGGACAUGGGCAAGACGGUGCUCCGCUUCCCCGGCGUGCCGCCGAUCCGCGCGGUGGACAUGUCGACCACGAUGCUGGACCGGGAGAGCGAUAUCGCCAAGGAACGGUUGCGCCACUACACGCGGAUGCCGAGAGCAAGAGGCUUUCUGACGAACAGUUUCGACUGGUUGGAGGCGAGGGCGCUGGAAGCACUCAGGUACGGCCUCUGCACGCCUGGUCGCCCAACGCCGCCAGUCUACUGCAUCGGCCCGCUAGUCCUUCCUGGCCAAACGGGAGGGAGCGCCGGCGGGAGACACGCGUGCCUCGAGUGGCUUGACGCGCAGCCGGAGCGGGGCGUGGUAUUCCUCUGCUUCGGCAGCCUGGGCACCUUCUCGGCGGCGCAGCUAGCAGAGGUGGCACGCGGGUUGCAGGACUCCGGGCACAGGUUCUUGUGGGUGGUGCGCAGCCCUCCCGAGCAGAAGGACGAGUCGGUCGAGCCGGACUUGCAGGCGUCGCUCCCGGAGGGUUUCUUGGAGAAGACCGCUGGCAGGGGCUUCGUGGUGAAGAACUGGGCGCCGCAGGCGGAGGUGCUGCGUCACGGAGCCGUCGGCGCGUUCGUGACGCACUGUGGGUGGAACUCGGUGCUCGAGGGGAUCGUGUCCGGCGUGCCGAUGAUCUGCUGGCCGCUGUACGCGGAACAGAGGAUGAACAAGGUGCACGUGGUGGAGGAGAUGAAGGUCGGGGUGGCGGUGGAGGGCUACGAGGAGGGACUGGUGAAGGCAGAGGAGGUGGCGGCGAAGGUGAGGCUGGUGAUGGCGUCGGAGGAAGGGAGCAAACUGAGGGAGAAGCUCGUGGCAGCCAAGGAGAUGGCGGCGGCCGCUGUGGAAGACGGCGGGUCGUCUGACGUGGCGUUUCACGAGUUCUUGAUGGACUUGGAGAAG